rnacentral:rRNA from 1 species
CGAGCGCAACCCUUGUCUUCUGUUGCCAUCAGGUUAUGCUGGGCACUCUGAAGAGACUGCCGGUGAUAAACCGGAGGAAGGUGGGGAUGACGUCAAGUCAGCAUGGCCUUUAUGUCUGGGGCUACACACGUGCUACAAUGGCAGAUACAAACCGUCGCGAGACCGCAAGGUGGAGCUAAUCGGAGAAAGUCUGUCUCAAUUCGGAUAGCUUUCUUGAUCGCUUUACCUGCUUGAAGUUGGAAUCGCUAGUAAUCGCGGAUCA